rnacentral:lncRNA from 1 species
CUGCUUAGCCUGUGUGAUUACAUCCUGGAAGUGAAACAGAGGGAAGCGGAUUGCUGACAUCACUGCCAUUAGGAUGAGCAAGAAGCUUCCCAUCCCCAAGACAACGGUGUCACCCACGGGCCAGGACAACAGUGUCACCCACGGGCCAGGCAGAUCUUAAUCUGUGACCCAGGAGCACAUGGCCAACAUUUAUUUUUAUUGUGAGAGAAUGUCAUACAUGCAUGUGAUGUGUUGGAUCAAACACACUUCCUAUCCAUUCCCUCUAGUUCCUCCCCUGUGCGCACUGUUUCUUUCUAAUUUUAUGUGCUUUCUUCCUAAAACCCACUAAGUUCACUCAAUGCUGCCAGCAUGUGCAUGGGUUGGAGGUCAUGCACUUGAACAUGGGUAGCCUUUCAGGGACAUAUUCCCCAUGAAAACUGACUCCACCCUUAACCCCAGCAGUCUUCAGUUGCCAAUAGCUGCUUCAGUGCUAAGGGUGGGAGUUCACACUUCCUCCUCCACCCAUGCUGGGGUUCAUUUACAUUGGUCUUAGAGCUCACACAUUCCAGUCUUGAUUACAUCUCACACAUUCAGUCACAGCCACUGUCCGCUCCUGUGUGUACAGCCCUUGGACAGCUCAGUUUGAUGGCAGUCGUCAUCUCUGGCUCUUACAAUCUGUCCACCAGCCUCUUCCUCAACAGUUCCUGGGGCAUGGCAAGCAUUUUGACUCCAGGGCUUCAUGAUACGCUUGCCCAAGUAUCACAGAGGGGGUGGGAGGAAGAUCUGUGGUAUAUCUACUAAGGGGCUGACAGUACUGGGGACAGGAGGAGCCAUGGCCCAGAACAAUGGGGGGAAACGGUUAAAGACAAACUGCAUCAAUUGGAGCUUCCUUGUUUGUUUUCUUUUGAAACCUUAAAGUUAUCCAAAUGGAGUGUUAAUUUAAAAAAAAAAAAAAGGAAUGUUUUCUUGGGAGAAGACAAUAUUUUG